AGCACUUGUGUUUGUUUUUGUUUAAGUUGUGGGCAAAGACUACAUACAGGUGUGAAUGAUAAAUCUUCUUUUGCAACCCAGAACUCAUUGUUCAGUAUGAGUUUAGAUACCUGUAAGAAGAAACAUG